rnacentral:misc_RNA from 1 species
CAGGGCAAUAUGCACGGUU